AAGUGACUGACUGUGGUUCAGUGUCAUCUGUACAAACAGCCGUAACUCCUCAUGGCCACUGAGGGUGAGGAAGGCAAGAAAAUAAACAGCGAGAAAGGCUGACUGAUUGGGGAGGACAGAUGACUAUUCAAGUUUGGGUUGGAGCCAAUCCCCACCUCCUCUGGUUUUCCUGCUCAAGGUCGACAGGGAAAGGAGGGUAAAGGGUGUCUCUCCAUCUCCCAGAGUAACACAGCAUGCUUAACAGAGAAAAUCUGGACCAGAAUCCAGGCUGUAUUGCAAGACCCCUGACUGGCAGUUGCUCUAACCCCUAGAGCAAUAUUGCACCAAUCACCAAAGACAGUUUGUCUUCACCUUUGCAUGAAUGUCAGAAGCUUCAGGGCAAGAUUACUGGAGAGGCUUUGGGGGGAUCCAGUUAGUCAAUUUUGACAUUUUAUUUCCAUAAAACAUAAGCAGUAGUAUAUCUCUGCAGACUGACCCGAGUGGAAAAUUUUCCAAUCAGAUAUUGGAGUAAUAUUAUUAUACUAAGAGGACAUGGUAUGUUUUUCUCUGGCCCGUGGUGGCAUGAUAGGCUCAUAACACAGGCACCCUUCUUCUGGGUUUUUAUUUAUUUUUUAGUUAAUGAAAAAAUCUCACACAUAAUUAAGUGUUGUGUAAAA